UACAGAGGUCCCAAGCGUUGUUCGGAUUCAUUGGGCGUAAAGGGUGCGUAGGCGGCGGGGCAAGUCAGGUGUGAAAUCCCGGAGCUCAACUCCGGAACUGCACUUGAUACUGCCUUGCUAGAGUACUGGAGAGGAGACUGGAAUUUACGGUGUAGCAGUGAAAUGCGUAGAUAUCGUAAGGAAGACCAGUGGCGAAGGCGAGUCUCUGGACAGUUACUGACGCUGAGGCACGAAGGCCAGGGGAGCAAACGGG
rnacentral:rRNA from 1 species